AUGCAAGCUACGACAGUCAGGCAGCUACUUCUAUCGGUAUUGGUAGCUUACAGUGCACAUUAUGUCGUCAGUGGCAGAUCCUUAUAUGCAAAUGAGACAGAUCGGCUAUCGCUGCUUCAGUUCAAGGAUGCAAUCAGUCUGGAUCCACACCAGGCCUUCAUGUCCUGGAACAAUAGCAUCCACUUCUGUAAUUGGGAAGGUGUCUUGUGCAGGCUGAAGACUCUGCCACAUCGUGUCAGUUCUCUAAACCUUACAAGUCGAGGUUUGGUAGGACACAUAUCUCCUUCACUUGGGAACCUAUCGUUCCUGCAUUCUCUAGCCCUGGUGGAAAACACACUCACCGGGGAGAUUCCACCCUCCCUCGGUCACCUGCGUCGUCUCCAAACCCUCCGCUUGAGAAAUAACAUGCUACAAGGAAGGAUACCAAGUUUUGUAAACUGCUCAAAGCUCAGGGUGCUGGAUGUUUCACACAACCAUCUAGUUGGCCAAUUUCCUACUGAGUUGCCUCCUGUCCUUCAGGUGCUGCGUGUUGGGACUAAUAACCUUACUGGCACCAUCCCAGCUUCUCUUGUCAAUAUAACAACACUAACCACCAUUAGCUGCCUGAAUAAUCAAAUCAAAGGAAAUAUCCCAAGUGAGUUUGCAGAUCUGCCCAGCUUGCAGUACCUGUAUGCAGGUGGCAAUCAACUGGCAGGCAGUUUUCCACAAGCCAUCUUGAAUCUUUCUACUCUCAUUGACCUUGACCUUGGUCUCAACGGUUUAAGUGGAAAUCUGCCACCAAAUCUCUGUACCGCUCUCCACAAUCUCCAGACACUUUUUUUGGGUGGCAACAUCUUUCUAGGCGGGCACAUUCCUAGUUCAUUAAGUAAUGCUUCCAAUCUAUACGAUGUUGAUUUUUCAGGUAACAACUUCACCGGAUUGGUGCCCACCACUAUUGGCAAACUUACCCAGCUCUCGUCGUUGAAUCUUGAAAAGAAUCAACUCCAAGCACAUAGCAGGGAAGAAUGGGAGUUUUUGGACAGCUUAGGCAAUUCCACGGACCUACAGAUGUUCUCCGUUAGUCGGAAUCGCCUAUCAGGGCAUGUACCAAAUUCAUUAGGUGUGGUCCCAGAGUGGAUUGGAUCUGUCAAGAUUUUGCAGCAAUUUGGUUUAGAAGCAAACUUCUUUACGGGGGUCAUUCCGUCAUCCUUGUCAAACUUGUCUCAAUUGGGAGAGCUCUAUCUAUCCUCGAACCAGUUCAUUGGUCACAUACCAGCAAGCUUUGGAAACUUUUCGACGCUUCAAAAUUUGGACAUUUCCAACAACAAUCUUCAUGGUAGGGUUCCAUUAGAGAUCUUUAAAAUCCCAACAAUAUUUCAUAUUAAUUUUUCUUUCAACAAUCUAGAUGGACAACUUCCUACCGACAUUGGCAAUGCCAAACAACUCGUACAUUUGGUACUUUCAUCAAACACACUAUCCGGUGAUAUUCCCAAAACUCUGGGUGAUUGUGAAAGUUUAGAAGACAUUGAGUUGGACUCAAAUAUUUUCGGUGGCAGUAUUCCCUCUUCAUUAGACCACAUAACCAGCCUCAAAUUUUUUAACUGUUCUAGCAAUAACUUAACUGGGUCAAUACCACUAUCUCUUGGCAACCUACAACAUCUUGAGAAACUAGAUUUGUCAUUCAACCAUCUUCAAGGCGAGGUUCCAGCAAAAGGGAUAUUCAAGAAUGCAACUGAACAUUCGUAUUGA
rnacentral:rRNA from 1 species